rnacentral:rRNA from 1 species
CAUAGGUUAAUGAGGCGAACCGGGGGAACUGAAACAUCUAAGUACCCCGAGGAAAAGAAAUCAACCGAGAUUCCCCCAGUAGCGGCGAGCGAACGGGGAGCAGCCCAGAGCCUGAAUCAGUGUGUGUGUUAGUGGAAGCGUCUGGAAAGGCGCGCGAUACAGGGUGACAGCCCCGUACACAAAAAUGCACAUACUGUGAGCUCGAUGAGUAGGGCGGGACACGUGGUAUCCUGUCUGAAUAUGGGGGGACCAUCCUCCAAGGCUAAAUACUCCUGACUGACCGAUAGUGAACCAGUACCGUGAGGGAAAGGCGAAAAGAACCCCGGCGAGGGGAGUGAAAAAGAACCUGAAACCGUGUACGUACAAGCAGUGGGAGCACGCUUAGGCGUGUGACUGCGUACCUUUUGUAUAAUGGGUCAGCGACUUAUAUUCUGUAGCAAGGUUAACCGAAUAGGGGAGCCGAAGGGAAACCGAGUCUUAACUGGGCGUUAAGUUGCAGGGUAUAGACCCGAAACCCGGUGAUCUAGCCAUGGGCAGGUUGAAGGUUGGGUAACACUAACUGGAGGACCGAACCGACUAAUGUUGAAAAAUUAGCGGAUGACUUGUGGCUGGGGGUGAAAGGCCAAUCAAACCGGGAGAUAGCUGGUUCUCCCCGAAAGCUAUUUAGGUAGCGCCUCGUGAAUUCAUCUCCGGGGGUAGAGCACUGUUUCGGCAAGGGGGUCAUCCCGACUUACCAACCCGAUGCAAACUGCGAAUACCGGAGAAUGUUAUCACGGGAGACACACGGCGGGUGCUAACGUCCGUCGUGAAGAGGGAAACAACCCAGACCGCCAGCUAAGGUCCCAAAGUCAUGGUUAAGUGGGAAACGAUGUGGGAAGGCCCAGACAGCCAGGAUGUUGGCUUAGAAGCAGCCAUCAUUUAAAGAAAGCGUAAUAGCUCACUGGUCGAGUCGGCCUGCGCGGAAGAUGUAACGGGGCUAAACCAUGCACCGAAGCUGCGGCAGCGACGCUGAUGCGUUGUUGGGUAGGGGAGCGUUCUGUAAGCCUGUGAAGGUGUGCUGUGAGGCAUGCUGGAGGUAUCAGAAGUGCGAAUGCUGACAUAAGUAACGAUAAAGCGGGUGAAAAGCCCGCUCGCCGGAAGACCAAGGGUUCCUGUCCAACGUUAAUCGGGGCAGGGUGAGUCGACCCCUAAGGCGAGGCCGAAAGGCGUAGUCGAUGGGAAACAGGUUAAUAUUCCUGUACUUGGUGUUACUGCGAAGGGGGGACGGAGAAGGCUAUGUUGGCCGGGCGACGGUUGUCCCGGUUUAAGCGUGUAGGCUGGUUUUCCAGGCAAAU